rnacentral:lncRNA from 1 species
CAAAAUCAAUACCAACCUUCCUUUUGUGGUCAUAAACAUUGUGUUUAAAUUUCAUAGAUUUCUAUUUACUUAAACUAAAGUUAUUGUGCAAAAACCAAGAAAAAUGCUUAUUUGGGCCCUUUGUUGGCCCCUUAUUCCUAAACUAUUGAAACCAAAACUCCCAAAAUCAAUCCCAAUCUUUCUUUUGUGGUCAUAAACCUUGUGUCAAAAUUUCAUAGAUUUCUAUUAACUUAAACUAAAGUUAUGGUGCGAAAACCAAGAAAAUGCUUAUUUGGGCCCUUUUUGGCCCUUAAUUCCUAAAAUGUUGGGACCAAAACUCCCAAAAUCAAUACCAACC